AUAAUUAGUGUUUUCUUCCAGAGUCUCAUUUGUUGCUUCUGCAUUUCUGAUGAAAAUUAUUUCAAACUCUACUCACUCCUGUGAUUAUUUCCUUAACUAGUGUUUGGAUAUUGAACUCAUUAUUUUAUGCUUCACCCUUUGGGGGCUUUUAGCUGAACUCUUGUCCUGGUUCAUCUCUCUCACUACUUUUCAAAUUACUGAUCACUCUUGCCUGGACUGACUUGUGUCUAAGUAAGGUACUUAAAGGGUUCACAGCUGUGGAAAUUAACAGUUGUUUCAAUAUUAUUUUAAUCCCUGAGUUGGUGCACAGUGUCUUUAAAAGUCUCUUUUGCUCUUUUUCUUCCCUGCAGGCUAUGGGAGCCUGAGGUCUUUUAAACUAUAAGUAGGCUUCUUAGCUUAAUCACUGACUCCUGACCAAGAGAUAAAGCGGGGUGGGGGAGAGAGAAUACAGUGGUUAUGCAAUGAAAUUCUCACACCCCAAGGAUCCAAAGCUCCAGGCUCAAUUCAGCUUCUUUGCCAAGCUAGACAGCACUGCUGGGUCCUGAGUUUCUAAACAAGUCCCAUUUAUAGUCUGUAGGUUCUGAGGCAACUAUUCACUAUGUUCUCAUCAGGAGAAUAACAUGGAAAGGCUCCCACCACAUAGCCCAACUGCUAGGCCACCAACGUGUAGAUCUUCUUCUUAGUUUCCUGCUUAGUUGUCUGUCUUCCAGUGUCAGCACAGGGCUUCUUCUCUGCUGCUCCAGCCUCAGAGGGCAGUAGCAAUGGAGACUCACAUUUGCAUUUGUUGAGUCUUAGGGGAGUCCUCUCCUCCCUUCAGCCAUCUUUUUGUUGGUAAAACAGAGUGGAGCUGGUGCCUCAAUUGGUAAACUGCUGGACUGUUAACCAGCCACUUAAUCUCUCCCUAGGCUCCUCGAUGUCCACGAGUCACAAGUGUUUGCACUUACCGGUGAUUUGGUGGGUUCCUGAAGUCUUUCUUGUCCUGUCUUCUUGCGGUUGCAGGUGGUCUCCUUUGGUAUUCCUAGUUGACCCAGGAGAAGAGAGGAGAGAAACACAGCUGCUGCUGCUCUGUAGCCCUACCUCCAGAAGUCUUUUCUUUUUUUUUUCAAAUAAGGGAGAGUACAUGUACAGUCCCCUACUACCAUAAAUUCUGCAGUCGAGUUGCCCACAUUUGGAGAAAUCUCAGGGUCAGCACACCCGGAGUACAGUGAGUUAAGCCUUGCCCUGGGAAAUACACCUUUAUAAUUAUAGACUUUCACCUGUCAGGUAAAUAUGAACCCAGGUCUUUAUGUUCAGUAAUGUGUACACUCUAGUGGGGAUGCUACCAGCCAGCCCUACUCACUUUUACUUCUAGCAAAACAAUAUAAAACAAACAAAACAAAACAAGAAUUGGCUUCCAAAGUAGUAGAAAAUACUAAAUAAGUAAAUAAGUAAGUGAAGAAGUAUGGGUCAAGGGGAAAGGAGAUUGGGACCAUGAAUCAGGUUGACAGCCAAAUACAUUAAUUUGGUUCUGUAUCCUUCACCAGCACUGGGCCUCAAAUCAGCACUCCCAAGCCAAGAAGUAAAAUGUAGUUAGUGAAGAUGAAUCACUGAGAAAACAGGAUGGAAGCUGACUAUAGGUUCCAGUUUCUAGGUGGGGAGGGCCAGUCUGCAAUGCUCAGUGUUUUGCCUAGAAGAAUGGGGUAGAAAUGGUGGUUAUUGAUUUGAAGGCACUGACAGCUGGUCAGGGUGUGAGGAAAGGGGAACACAGAUGCCAGAGGGGGAAGAUGCUGACAGGCAGUGCCUUUUCUACAGCCUCUUUCAGCCACUUGUCAUUUGAUACUGAGGCAAGGGGCUGAGUCUGGGCGUUGUGUGUACAAAGUCACUGGGAUCCAACCCCAAGAUUUUUUAACGAAAUUUGGGAUCACUCUGACAAAUAUCAAGACAAGGCAAGUAGGGGUUGAAUCAGUUACCUGAAGAAAAUCCCUCUGAGACACUAAGCUUUUUUUCAAACCUGACAAGGCAAAGACUAGAGCUUAGGCCACACCAUGCAGAAAGGCCUCAGAAAAAACACAGGAGUUUUCAACAGCAUGGAAUGGCCAGGAACUCAGGCCAAUUAUCUCCAGUGAAAACAUUCUGUGCUCCCAAGGAAACGCAGUUCUGAAUGCCUUCACUGUUAGCCAAGCUGGACUUUGGGUUCAUGUCCUCUUAAGAAAGCUGAGGAUUCAAGCAGAUGUUUAAAGAGAAGACCACCCUAGCUUCACAGGGAAGUGGGCCAAACCAGUUUCUACUUACCAGCAGGUCACUCUCACACCUAAUGACUUCAUCCAGCAUGGGGCUUGAGAGUGACUUGGUUUGGUGGCACAGGGACUUCUGUGAGUCUAACACUUGUGAAGACUGAGAGCAGAGAUCAGAAUAUACUUGCUGAAGGAGAUGGCCUCUUCAUCCUGUGGCUUUGCUGGUUUUAUAACCUCCAAAUUAGAAGGAGAAAAUGAAGGCCCUCCUGUUGAGCAUGAUGACGACACUCCCCAAGAUGUGUGACGGAGGGUUUGGUAACCCUCGAGAAGCC